rnacentral:rRNA from 1 species
UACAGAGGGUGGCGAGCGUUAAUCGGAAUUACUGGGCGUAAAGCGUGCGUAGACGGUUAUUUAAGUCGGGUGUGAAAUCCCCGGGCUCAACCUGGGAAUGGCGAUGGAUACUGGCUCGCUAGAGUGUGAUAGAGGAUGGUGGAAUUCCCGGUGUAGCGGUGAAAUGCGUAGAGAUCGGGAGGAACAUCGAGUGGAGCGGAAGGCGGCCAGUC